UUCUCAAAGAGGCAAAGGAAAGACAUGCAAUAAAAGACGUUAAAGAUGCCAUUAUUAAAGAUUUUAGAGCCGCAGAAACUGAAAAGGAGGAAAGAAAAAAGAAGGUAGACAAACUUGAGGAAGCCAUCGAGAUAAAACUAAAGAAGAAAACCUAAAAGAGGGGACCAAACCCCUUGAGAAGGAACUACCAAAGCCCAGAGAAGAAGAGUCUAAAAGGGAGGAAAGAACCCAAGAAACGGUCCAAAGAGGAGGCAGAAGUCAAGAAACCAUCUAAAGACAAGAAAGAAGUCAAGAAAUCUCUCAAAGAAGUCAAGAAACCCCUCAAAGAAGAGAAAGAAGUCAAGAAAUCAUCUAAAGACAAGAAAGAAGUUAAGAAACCUCUCAAAGAAGUCAAGAAAUCCCUCAAGGAAGAGAAAGAAGUCAAGAAACCUCUCAAAGAAGAGAAAGAAGUCAAGAAACCUAUUAAAGAAGAGAAAGAAGUCAAGAAAUCAUCCAAAGACAAGAAAGAAGUCAAGAAACCUCUCAAAGAAGAGAAAGAAGUCAAGAAACAUCUCAAAGAAGACAAAGAAGUCAAGAAAUCUCUCAAAGAAGAGAAAGAAGUCAAGAAACAUCUCAAAGAAGACAAAGAAGUCAAGAAAUCUCUCAAAGAAGACAAAGAAGUCAAGAAACCUAUUAAAGAAGAGAAAGAAGUCAAGAAAUCAUCUAAAGACAAGAAAGAAGUCAAGAAACCUCUCAAAGAAGAGAAAGAAGUCAAGAAAUCAUCUGAAGAAGACACAGAAGUCAAGAAACUUCUUAAAGAAAAGAUGGAAGUCAAGAAACUUCUCAAAGAAGACAAAGAAGUCAAGAUAUCAUCUAAAGAUGAGAAAGAAGUCAAGAAACCACUUAAAGAAAAGAUAGAAAUCAAGAAACCACUUAAAGAAAAGAUAGAAAUCAAGAAACCCCUCAAGGAAGACAAAGAAGUCAAGAAAUCUCUCAAAGAAGAGAAAGGAGUCAAGAAAUCAUCUAAAGACGAGAAAGAGGUCAAGAAACUUCUCAAAGAAGACAAGGAAGUCAAGAAACCAUCUAAAGACGAGAAAGAGGUAAAGAAACAUCUCAAAGAAGACACAGAAGUCAAGAAAUCUCUCAAAGAAGUCAAGAAACCCCACAAAGAAGAGAAAGAAGUCAAGAAACCUCUCAAAGAAGAGAAAGAAGUCAAGAAACCUCUCAAAGAAGAGAAAGAAGUCAAGAAAUCAUCUGAAGAAGACAAAGAAGUCAAGAAACCUCUUAAAGAAAAGAUAGAAGUCAAGAAACUUCUCAAAGAAGACAAAGAAGUCAAGAAACCCCUCAAAGAUGAGAAAGAAGUCAAGAAACCACUUAAAGAAAAGAUAGAAAUCAAGAAACCCCUCAAAGAAGACAAAAAAGUCAAGAAACCUCUCAAAGAAGAGAAAGAAGUCAAGAAACUUCUGAAAGAAGACAAAGAAGUCAAGAAAUCAUCUAAAGACGAGAAAGAAGUCAAGAAACUCCUCAAAGAAGAGAAAGACGUCAAGAAACCUCUCAAAAGACAAGAUGUCAAGAAACUUCUCAAAGAAGACAAAGAAGUCAAGAAAUCAUCUAAAGACGAGAAAGAGGUCAAGAAACCACUUAAAGAAAAGAUAGAAGUCAAGAAACUCCUCAAAGAAGUCAAGAAAUCAUCUAAAGAUGAGAAAGAGGUCAAGAAUCUUCUCAAAGAAGACACGGAAGUCAAGAAACCAUCUAAAGACGAGAAAGAGGUCAAGAAACCUCUCAAAGAAGAGAAAGAAGUCAAGAAAUCAUCUAAAGAUGAGAAAGAGGUCAAGAAUCUUCUCAAAGAAGAGAAAGAAGUCAAGAAAUCAUCCAAAGACAAGAAAGAGGUGAAGAAACAUCUCAAAGAAGACAAAGAAGUCAAGAAACCUCUCAAAGUAGAGAAAGAGGUCAGGAAACCUGUCAAAGAAGACAAAGAAGUCAAGAAACCUCUCAAAGAAGAGAAAGAAGUCAAAAAAACUCUCAAUGAAGAGAAAGAAAUCAAGAAACUUUUCAAAGACGAGAAAGAAGGCAAGAAACCCCUCAAAGAAGAGAAAGAAGUCAAGAAACCUCUCAAAGAAGAGAAAGAGGUCAAGAAACAUCUUAAAGAAGAUAAAGAAGUUAAGAAACUUUUUAAAGAAAAGAUAGAAGUCAAGAAACCCCUCAAAGAAGAGAAAGAAGUCAAGAAACCUCUUAAAGAGAUGAAACCGGCCAAAAAAGAUACAGGAGAGAGAGACCCUUCAAAAGACGAGAAAGACGAGAAGAAACCACUUGGGGAAGAAAGAGAAGACAAUAAACAUCAUAAAGAAGAGAAAGUAAUGAAAACAACUCUUAAAGAAGAGAAGAAACAAGAAAGGAAGUCUCUGGAAGAGAAAAAAGCACCCACAGAAGGGGUAGACUUGAAACCAUCUAAGGAAGAGAAACAAAUGAAAAAGCCUCAAGAGGAGAAAGUAGAAAAAGAGAUGAAGCCUAAAGAACUGAAGGAAGUAAGUAACUAUUCUAAGGAAAGGAAAGAAGAGAGGAAACCCUCUAGGGAGGAAAAGGAAAAAAGGGAGCCACCAAAGGCAGAGAAAGAAAUUAGGAAACCCUUAGAAGAAAAGAAAGAAGUAAAGCCUCCAACAAAAGAAAUUGAAGACAAGAAGCCUUCUGAGGAAGAGAAGGAAGUGAAAACGCCUCCUGUGAAGGAAAAAGAAGUUACGAAGCCUUCUAAAGAAGGGACAGAAAUGAAGAAGUCUGCUGUCGAGAUUUUUUUCUUUACGAAGACUAUAAAGGAAGGAAAAGAGCUGAAGAAACCGUCUGUGGAGGAAACAACUAACAAAAAGGAGAAAGAACUGUCUAAAGAAGAGAAAGAAUCAAUAAAGCCCAAAGAAGUAAAAGAGGUCAAAAAGCAUCUCAAAGAAGAGAAGGAUGAACUACUGCCUCCAAAAGAAGAAAGAGAACAAAGGAAGCCUUCAAAAGGAGAGAGAGAACCAGAAAAAACAUCUAAAGAGGUCAAAGAAGUUAAAAAUCUUAAGUUAAAAAAAAAGGAAAAGCCAGCAAGUCCUUCCAAAGAAAGAUCAGUACCAAAGAAGCCCUCUGAAGAAAAACAAGAACCAGAGAAACCUUUUAAAGACGAAAAAGAACCAACAACACUGUCUAGAAAGGAAGAAAAAGAAUCAAAGAAGCUCUUUAGAGAACAAGACCAAGAGAAACCUUCCAAAGAAAAGAAAGAGAUCAAGAUUAUUCUCAAAGAAGAAAAGGAACCAAAGAAGAUCUCUAAGGAAGACACGGAACAAACAAAGCCCUCUAAAGAGAAAGAAAUAAAGAGGGCUCAUAAAGACAAAGAACCUGUCAAGAAGAGAGAUACUAAGACAGACUCUGGACCCAAAAAGGCUGUAAGGAGGAUUAAAGUAGUCAAGAUGGAGGUUGCUUCUGUCCUGAAGAAGGAACAUCUUAAUGUUACAAAAGCAGCUGAUGAACCUAAGAAGGCCGUAAAGAGGUUGACAGCUGCGAAAAAGAUAGUUCCUGUCCUGAAAAAGGAAAACUUGAACAUUACAAAAACAGAGCUUCCUGAGGUUCCUAAGGUGAAAGCCAAACCAGAACCUGCAAAGAAAUUUGCAGCUCCAAAGGAGACCAAGAAGGAACCAAAGGAAAAACUCAAAUCUGUACCUGUUAAACCAGAGCUUCCUGAGGUUCUUAAGGUGAAAGCCAAACCAGAACCUGCAAAGAAAGGUAAGAGCAUGCUUUUAUACUUUUGUGUUAAAUAUCAACUAAAAGUCGACUCAAUCUGAUGAGUCUUUUUCCAAUCUUUAUUCAGACCAAUCAUGAAAGAAAAUAUACUUAGACUUUAUGCAUACAUUUUGUUUGCUGACACUAACUUGAUAGAUUUAUUCAAAGAAAGCUUCACAUAAUAAACACUGAUCUUUUUAUAAGCCUAAAACUUAAGGGCUUUUUUGUGUCACAAUUUUCCACCAGUUGCAGCUCCAAAGGAGACCAAGAAGGAACCAAAGGAAAAACUCAAAUCUGUACCUGUUAAACCAGGUAAUGCUACAGGUGCUGACUCACUCAGAGAGGAAUGUAGAAAGUGUUGCUGCAACACUGGAAAUACUUAAAUCUACUACUUCAUACCCAUCUAUAUCAAUGCGGGUAGAACAGAAUCUUUUCACACACUGAUCGCAGGAAUGCAAUGUACCAACAUGAUCAGUUUACAAUGCAGAUGUUUUUGAUGACUUUAUAUUUUAAAGGCAAAGCUCCACUAACUCUGUGUCCUAUUUUGUGAAACAGAAGUCCCAAAGGAAAAGGCCAAAGCAGCUGCCACUAAGAAAGGUAAUACACACAUUAAUGUUUCCAUUAUGAAUGAGAAAAAAUGUAUAAUUCAAAAUCAAAAUUUGUAAAAUUUUCAAAUUCUUCAACAUUUUCAAAAAAAAUGUUUUUUAUUUAUUUAUUUAUUUAUUUUUAUUUACAAAAUGUUCUAAAUGUACA
rnacentral:lncRNA from 1 species